GCUGUCUCCAACCCUUGUCCAAUCCUUGCCAACUGGAAAUUUUAAAGUUAACUAUUUUGAGCUCCGAAGUGUUUGUAGCAGAGUUUGUGCAGUGUUGACCUGCCACAGGUGAAGCCCGAGAUGUAACCCCAACACCACAGACAUGGCCCCCAAGAUGUUGUUUUAGUUUAAAUUCAUUUGAUUAUUAUUAAUGCUGCUGGACCUUGUUCAUACAUGCAUUAAUCUUUCUCAGGUUUUCUAAUUUUCUUUCAAUUAAUGUCCUUUGCUUAUUCUGUUUUGGCAUUGGUGUUACUUUUAUAAAGAAUGUUGAGGUGUUUUUCCCCCCUCCUUGCUUGCUAAGUAAGAACAAGGUAAAAAUUCUAAUCUACCAAUAACUUUUGAAUAUUAGAUUUGUUCUCCACCCUCAGAGUGGAACUGGUCACCUUCCUUAGAGGAGCAUUUUCUGUCAUGUUGAAGAAACAUCAGAGAAAGGAAGAGCAGUUGCAGAGUUCCUUACAUUUGGAUAAAACAGUCAUAUGCUUAUUUCAUUGCAAAUUCCUAAAAGUAAUAUCUACUACCAAUGAUAGGGAGACUGUUAAAUGAAGUGUGGUUUUCCUAAGUAGCUAGAUAAUUUGUGUUUAAUUUAACUCAGCCACCUCUAUAGAAGUUAACCCCAAUCUUGAACCAAAUAGUGCCCAAACAGAAAAAUGCACCGAUGCUAAUUCCCCUUUCUCUUUGACAAAUCUGAGUUUUUAGACCGAUGGGUAUGUUGGCUGCCUCCAUGUUCAGAAGCACUUGUGGUUCCUGUUGACACAUUAAGUGUAGAUUUGGGGACAAGCCAGGUGUUCAUCAGUUUCCCAGAGAACCUAGAGCAGUGACAGGUGCCUGAGAUCCCAGCACCUGGGAGGUGAAGGCAGGAGGAUUAGAAGCCCAAGGCCCUUUUGCUGAGCUACAUAGCUGUUUGGAGGCUCCCUGGGCUGUGUGAGACCCUGUCUCAGAAGCCAUUAAAAAUAAGAGGAUUUUCCACCAAGAGUCAUCUGCUUCCGUGUGACCCUCAUCUACUUAGGUGUUAGGCAUUGGUAACAAUACUCAGAACAGUCUUUUUGUUGUUGUUGUUGUUGUUGUUUCGAGACAGGCUUUCUCUGUGUAGCCCCGGCUGUCCUGGAACUCAUUCGGUAUCUCCGAACAGUCUUAAUUAGAUACUUGGUUUUCACAAUAAAGC
rnacentral:lncRNA from 1 species